GAUCUGCCGUCAAUUCAGCUCAAUUCUUCGGGAGUCCGUGAAGCUGCUCCAUGUUGGAUCUGUAGGAUGAGAAGCCAAAUGACAAGCCAGGUCCAAGAAGAACAUUGCUUAAGGCUGACAGGCAAUUGCCAAAGCCAACCUCUGGGAGCUCUCCAAGAAAGGAUCAAAACUUUACUGUGAGAUUGCAUCUACUGCUGCCAGAAUCUGCAGGUACAGAUCGUGGUCAGAAUACUCCAGAGGUGAACUCAAAUCCACCGGAGCUGUGAAUGAGGCUAGGUGCCUGUGGGACUGAGCCCUGGCACUGAAACCUGGCCUCCUGAUAUGUUUAUGUAGAGCAAAGAUGCGCUGAUGCUCUACUUAGUUCAAGAUACCAGCCUCUUCAAGUGUACACUAGGGGGACUAUAGGAACUCAGGUGUUUUCUUCAGCAAUAUCAGGCUAAAGAGGCCAAGUGAAAUUUGUGUAAAUUGCUUUGUCAGAGUUAGGUAUCUAUACUGCACUUUUUAAAUAGGCAUUUUUUUGAAAUACUGGCACUGAAUUCUCCUUGAAGCUUUGAAGUAUGAGACACAGAGAACAAUGCAGACAUGAGGUGUUCAAUUCUAUUACACAGUAGUACCUAAAUGCCUAUAUAUGACCUAAACCAAUGAAAAUUUAAGGGAAAAACACCAGAAGGGAAAUACCUGCUGAGUAUUACAGUUCAGCCCUUAGGGUUUUGUUUCAUUUUAUCACUAUAUGCUGUAAUCCAAGCAGAAUUUUAGUCUCCUUUACUGUAUGUUUGAAAUCUGCCAUAGCAAAACUAUUGCAAAUUAGAAGUAGUUCAGUAAAUCUAAGCUGCUUAAGUUUGUGUCACGAGCUGAAGCUAUUUUGUGGGAAAAAUUGUAUUCUGUCGUUGUCAAUUAAAUAUGCAUUGAAUUUUGUGUUUUUGUAGAAACAAGACCAUGGAGCAGAUCUUGUGGAAGCCUCUCAAUGUCUCAGAGUUAUCAAGACUAUUAACCUGUAAACAUAUACAUGACUGUUCUUAAAAUAAUUUAUUUUGCAUUUGAAAUAAGGAUUUGUGAGCUGCAUUGAGCAUAAUCCAACCAAGCAUUUCACUGGGCAGUUAAAUUUAAGCAUAUGUAGGCUUCCUGAAGGCACUGAAUUGGGUUGUGUGUGCUAGGUAGGCAUGUGUGUUUAGAAGAGUAGCAAUGAAUGUUCCUUAGUAAUUAUUUGCAGCUACUCUGAAGGAUACUGUAUUGACUGACAGUCAGUGAGACAACAGAUGUUCUGAAAAUGUUUACCUGCACAUAGCUGUUAUGGACAUACCUAAUGCUAGUCAGAGAAAAAUGUAAUCAUACAUCAAUUCUGAUCCAUCUGCACAUGAUCUUAAGAAGUUCAAAAAACACCUUUUAUGCUAGCCUGUUGUAGCAGAAGUGCAAGUCACAGCCUGAAGCAGUGAUUGAGCACCUGGUGGGAAAAGCAGGGCCAAUCCAGGUGAGCUCAGGUGCAAACAUGCAAGCAAUGCCCCUGAGUGACCAGAAGGGGUGAAGCCAGGAUCCAACCCUUCCCAGACCUCAUUUAAGGGUUGGCAGUGGAGACAAGGGUGUAUCACUGGAAAUCUCUGCAUACCUGAAGCCUUCUGCAGGUAAGCAGCUUCUUUCCUUUGCUUCUGUGACUACAGCUGUUACAUUUGAGCAAGUUCUCACUUGCUAAAGCCUAGGACCUUGCUGCUCUGCUGUCAUUGCUGUGCUGCUUCCCAUUGCAUUACACAUGUACAACCACAGGCUUUAUUGCUAUGUUUUGAUAAUAUUGAAUAAGCUGUGAAAGUAGUAAAUCUAAAGUACUCGCUGUGUUAUUUUUUUGAAGAAUGAAUAAUUGUAGUAUGAUAGCUUUCAUUUCUGGAGUUUGUUUUUAUUUUGAAGACAAUACCGUUAACUUUUUUUUUCCUGGAGAUUCUUUAAUUCUCUCCAUGUUGAAUACAGCUAAAAUAUUAAGACAGAAGAAUGCCAUUAUUCCUCCAACAAUAUGUAUUUGCUGCCUGUUCGUGGUAUUAUUUACAAUAAGCAGAAUCAAACCACGGGGUAGUGUAAGUAAGUAUAAACAUAUGUUUUGCUGGGUUGUCUGUGACAGCUUUGUAGCCAAGAAUAGCAACUUCUGAGGUUUACCAACAUUUGGUAAGCCAAAAAAAUUCUCUUUGAAAACAGAUGCAAAUUCUAAUUCUUAAGAAGCUUUAUCUGCAAAAAAAGGAAAGGGAAGAAAAAAAUUGAGGUGUAUGCUAAUUUUGGUGGAUUUGAUCAUGCGUGGCUGAAAAUUGGAAAAAAAAUCUUGUAAAUCAUCUAGAAAACAGAAUUGUAGAUUGUUGUGGUAUUCUAAUAAGGUUGGCAGCAAAAGUUCAGGCAAACUCAGAAAAUGCGCCUAUGGUAUUCAGUUACAUUUCAUCUAUUGAAAGUGUAAAUGCAGAAUGUUACAGCAUGAGUGUUCUGCCUGUUAAAUCAUCUUGUAGGCUGGAGUGUAAGGGGUAAGCUACUGAUCCAAACAUUUAGAGACUGUUUCUUUUUUUAUCUCCUGAUAGAGGAUAGGUGCUAAUUUGCACUACUGAGACUGAUGGGAAUUUUACUCCUACCUCUCCAAAGGGAGGAAAGUCAGGGGCAUUGUUAGGGUGAUUUUUAUUAUUGUCUUCUCCUCAUUGCAAAGCUUAUUUUGAAGUGGUAAAGAUAUUCAGACUUGCUAGGGUCCAGAAGGCACUGUUCGGCCCUGAUAGUCCUAGCUCACUACCCAGAACUCUACUUAGGCUACUGCUCUGAGCUGGACAGGACUUGGGUCCUGACAUCCCAGCCCAACCUUGGGCCCUCCCAACCCAGGGAGGUGCCAGAUGAGUGCUGGGGCUGUCUUGGCUCCCCAGGACUCUCCCUGCCCUGCUCCCAGCUGUGGUGGUGGGAUGUGUCCUGCCCAACCCCAGCAUCCCUCCGUAGUGGAGCUGCUGGCUUUCUGUGUGCCCUGACACAGAUGUAAUAAUGGCUGAAUUUUAUUGAGGAAGAAAUCCAGUGACCGCCAUCUGGCUUCUCCAGUACUUCUCUUUUACAGAUAAUGUAUACAAGAGGCUCUCUGUGAAAGCAUUCUUUAUAGGUAGCUCUUGGUGUCUGUGUUUCUAGCAUGGCAUCUGUGUGUAGUUGUAUCUGUUCAUGGUUCACAUUCCCAGGUCCUUUUGCCAAAAGGCAAAUAUAGAAAUUUACACUGGGCACCUCAAGCCCUAGUUUAGGCAACUAAAUAGCAUGAUUGUAAGAUCUCCCAGUGCAGCAGUAAAUCAGAACAUCUAUCAGUGCUGACUGUCAUAUGCUUAGAGCAUUCUUCUGUCGUUACUUUGUUUUCUCCUUGGGGUAACAAUACUAAAAUCUGAGAAAAGCAGUUAAUUUCUUGCAAUGUGUUCAUACUCAACUUAGUCGUACCUUUAAGUCUCCAGUACUACUGCAGUGCGUGGCUGCAGAGGUGAUAGUUACUGAACUUAGAUAUGUAGAUACGUAGCCUAUUGUUUCUUUCUUCUCUUUUUUUUUUUUUUUUUUUUCAUUAAAAGGAGAGGAUAACAUGUCUUGGAAAAGCAUUAUUUAAAUUGUGCACUGGUGCACUGCUGAGCUUAUUCUAUAUUAAAUUUCAAGGAUGAGUUCUCUUGUGAGAAUUCAGCAACUUGACUGAUUCAUUUAUUUUUCAAGAAAAUUAUCUGAUAUUGUUCUUUUUUUUUUUUUUUCUUUUACUCUCAGCUACAAGUAAUCACAGCAAUGAAAUUGGUUUUCUUUUUAUGUGGGAAGCUGCAACAACCAACUUAGCUAAUUACGUGAAAAGGUGGUAACUUCUCCAGGCUGGCGCAGGAAAACAUUGAAGUUUAUUGUGGCUUCUGUCCUGUGGAACGUUUGUGUUAAAAUGCUGCAGAAGUCUUUUUUUCAGGCUCCAGCACAUGGCCAGCAAUGCAGUGAUGUGAGAAUCCUGCUUGGUUUCUUCUGCCACCUCCUUGUUCCCAUCCCAAACAUAUGGAAGUGUCAAAAUAGGCAGCCUGUGGUUAGAAAAUAAGUCCAAAUCCUCAGAAACUUUCAGCUCUGUUGUUAUUUCAAUGGAGAAACUUGCAGGAUGAGGGAAGGCUUGGAAUUUCUGACAGGCAGCUGAACACUUCCACUAUCUGCUCAGGGUGUCAGGCUUCCUCAUGGUGACCAGCAAUCAGGUGCACACCUCGAUUCAGGACCACACAGAGCUGUCCUUUGCCACUCUUCUAAGAGCAUGCUUGCUGCAAGUACACAGUGCAUGUGCACUUGUGAGCUGGAGCAUGUGAAACACUCUCUCUGUUUCUCCGUGUGGUAAGUCCCUGUCAGAUAAAGUGGCAGACAAAUGGUCUCCGGACACAUUAGGGACAGUACAAAGCAGAAAAGAUGGCUGUAUCUGGAAUAGGUGGGACAGUCAUUUAAAAACAAACUUUUUGAGCCUUCAAAUGCUGUAAGUCUAAUGCUUCCACUAAGCAGCAGAAGCUUGUCUGGAAAACCUUAUUGUUGUCAUGUUCCCUUGCCUGUAACUGGUUGCUUGCUUUCUGUUUAUGUUUUUGAUUGCAGUAUGUAGUAUGUUAGUUUUUUUUCAGAACUCCUCCUACAUUUCCUCAAGUCAAAACGCUAUUUUCAGACUUUGUGGCUCUUCUUCAUUUCCUCUGUGAGGAAAUAUUUUAAUACUGCAAUUUGAUGUAGCCAUGUUCCAGAUAGAACGUGUGCAAGCCAAACUUUGCUUUCUGGGCAGAAUUUGGAUGACUGCAUUUCAAUUUUUUUGUUCUUCAGUCUGCAGCAUGGAAACCACAGGACCAUAUGGCAUAACUACAGAAACGUGUGAGCUCGUUAUGCAACUGCUUCCUAAUAUAGCUACAAAACAUGGAGUUCUGAAGAGCUACCCAUGCAAGAACAAAGAGUUGCAGCUCCUAAGAAAACUGUUUCAUAGCCCUACACAGAGGAACAAAGAAAUACAUACAAAGGAAGCUGUGCCGUACGCCACUCCAGCAGGCCUGGCUGAGGUGUGCCGAAUCCCAGCAGGCUGAGAAGCGCUCGUGGAGCCCCCAGCAGACAGCAGCACUGGGGCCCUGAGACCAAAGCAGCCCAUCAAAGAUAGGAAUUUCAUACUGAAAGGAAAGUAAUACAUAUAUCACUUAAGGCAUCUAGCUUAAAAUAUUAAAAAGGAGGACAGAACUAUGGAAAGAGGAGUUCUUUUAGAAGAUUGCCUGUGGACUGUAUUUUAAUGUUCUGAAGCUGCUCCCUGCAGCUAUUUUAUACAAUACCCAGUUUUCUCGAGUUUCAGAAGUACUAAUGAUUCAAUGGAUGCAGAAUCACAGAAAGCUCCUGAACUCAGCUUAUGCUUCCCUCCACUGCCUUGAAGUCCUAUUUCCAGCCAGUGUUUUAGAACUAGACAGCUUUGCAAGAGAGUAAAAAUCCCUUAGCAGUAUUAACUGUUAACUUCUUUGAAAGGAGUUCAUUUUAAGCCAGAGCAAUUGGAUGUGUGUGAUAGAAAUAUUGUUUUUUUCUAACAACUGCUAGAUUAUUAACCUAAAAGCUUGCUUUAAUGCAACGAUCAUAGUAAUGAGAUGCAUUACCUCUUUUGGUGUUUGGUAUCAGUUUUUUUGCUCUAUUCUCCAAUAUUUCUGUGGAUAUUUCAUGUGGGUUUUGAUGUUUAAAAAAGCAGUCAUUUGAAACGUCAUGAAUACACAACAGAAAUUUGGUAAGUAGCAAGCCCAACUCCCCAGUUUAAUAGGGGGAUAAUGCUUUUUUUUAAUCCUUUUCAAACGCAUGGCCAACAGUUUUUUCUAUAAUGUCAAAAUAUGAUAUAAAAAUACCAUUUCAUGCGAAUUUCAACUACCUGUGGCUUCGGGAAUAGAUGCUACAUACUCUCUAGCUGUAGAAAUCAUCACGGUAAAAAGAUGGCUUGUUUUUACGACUGG